CAGCAGCCGCGGGAAUACGUAGGGUGCGAGCGUUAAUCGGAAUUACUGGGCGUAAAGCGUGCGCAGGCGGUUUUGUAAGACAGGCGUGAAAUCCCCGGGCUCAACCUGGGAAUGGCGCUUGUGACUGCAAAGCUAGAGUGCGGCAGAGGGGGAUGGAAUUCCGCGUGUAGCAGUGAAAUGCGUAGAUAUGCGGAGGAACACCGAUGGCAAAGGCAAUCCCCUGGGCCUGCACUGACGCUCAUGCACGAAAGCGUGGGGAGCAAACAGGAUUAGAUACCCCAGUAGUCCCUGUCUCUUAUAC
rnacentral:rRNA from 1 species